UCAAAGUUCAGUUAGAAAAUGAUUGACUGGGAGUAGAGGAAAAUGAAAUUGAAAGUGAGGUUCCCAGACUUUAAAAGAACGCCCUGCAGGCAGGGGACAGAACACCUGACACAGCGGCUGAGGCUUCAGGAUGCCUGUAGUGGUUGGUGGGGUCGUGGUUGUGGCCGUGCUGGUCGUGUGCGGCUUGAUCUAUAUGUACCACAACUCCUCUCCAUGCAGACCACAAAGGGAAUCAGCGUCCCCCAACCGAGAAGACACUGAGUAUCACAGGAGAGACGAGUGGACGUCAGCGAGCAUGCAAGUGGCACCUCGUUUGCAUAGUGAUACAAUGAGGUCUCGCACUCUGUGUAACAGAGGCUAAAGAUUCCAGAGGUGUCUCUCAUGGGGACCAAAAGAAGGCCUAACCUUCUGGACCUCCAGGACCCUGGUUGUCCCUGCCGUGACGACCUAGGGAAAUGUCCCCACCUGAUCACAUAAUCGACUCCACGCUCCAGUGCAGCCUGCGCUCUGCACUCAGCCCGCUGGAUCGCGCUGCUCCUCUAGUCAACGGAAGAUGGGGAUUUGAGAUGGAUUUUAACAGAGAGGCCUGUCUAGGGCACGUGCAUCUGUGUGGGGCACCCAUGCCUGGGGCCUUGGGGGACACCCUCCGUGUGCUCCCCUGCACGUGAGCUCGUGGGUUGGAGGAACAAAUAUCUAGACGCUUAACCCUAACUCUUCAGUCACUGCUGCAUUUAAUAAACACGAGUGAGCAUUUCAUGUGGUCAAGGCUCUCUCUGGCAGGAGGGGGACAAUGGUGAGCGUGACACAGUCUGUCCCCUCCAGGAAGUCCUGGGUCAGGAGAGAGGACGCCAUGGGCGGAGGAUCCCGCACACGGGGCAGCGUGAGGGACACACAGGAGGAGCACGGAGCUGCGUGAGAGUCACUCUGGCAGUGGCGUGGCAGGGAAGGGGACAGAGGGGACCAGGCCUGGCUGGGGAGGCGCCAUCCGAGUGGGGCAUUAGAGGACAGUGACGGGUUCCUCUGUGUCACGAGGCCCCACACUGUGUGCAGGAGCUUUGGGGACAGUGGGCCACCCCCUGAGACGAUCAGUCCUUUCCUGUGCUGCUGCCACGGGGGGACAGAACUCGGGAAGGUCCAGGGUGUCCGGAUCAGACAUCUCCAGGCGUGAGGCUAGUGUUGCACAGCGCUACUUGAAAAAUGUAAGUCUCACUCCAGAGAGAGAGGGCUGUGUCUAUGACUUGUGUGUUUACAGACGAGAGUGUAAAUAAAGUUAUCCACGGAGAUCACCUGGCAUCCAGGGUCACACUGUGACAGGUCACAGCAUCAUCUGUCACGUGCUGGCGCUGUCCCGCUUUCCUUAGCUGCAGAAACACUGCAAGGGUGUCUGCGGUUUUUAUUCGAUUGGGAUAUUUGGUCAAUAAAUACACAACGUGAUUUCACUGUUGCAAAUAUUUUGUCCUCCAAGGUGAUCUCACAGGUUUCUUCCCAAAGUCUUGUAGUCACAGGUCUGUCCCCUCCUGCACCUCAUCUGCUCUGACCAGGGUCCUCUGAAGCCUGUCACCUGCUCAGGAAGCUGAAGUUCCAUGGACUCAGGUGGCUUUUCAUUUGCUAGUGCUAGACAGACCCUAGAAUCUCUGAUGAUCAAAAUGGGUGUGACAAAUAGACACGGGACGUGCAAUAAGCUGGUUCCCAGCACCUUUGCCUGUACCUGUUUGAAGCAGAAUGU
ensembl:lincRNA